AACGAACGCUGGCGGCGUGCCUUACACAUGCAAGUCGAACGCGAAAGCGGGGCAACCCGCAAGUAGAGUGGCGAACGGGUGAGUAAUACAUCGGAACAUAUCCAGUAGCGGGGGAUAACCUAUCGAAAGAUGGACUAAUACCGCAUACGAUCUACGGAUGAAAGCAGGGGACCGCAAGGCCUUGCACUAUUGGAGUGGCCGAUGUCGGAUUAGCUAGUUGGUGGGGUAAAAGCCUACCAAGGCGACGAUCCGUAGCUGGUCUGAGAGGACGAUCAGCCACACUGGAACUGAGACACGGUCCAGACUCCUACGGGAGGCAGCAGUGGGGAAUUUUGGACAAUGGGGGCAACCCUGAUCCAGCCAUGCCGCGUGAGUGAAGAAGGCCUUCGGGUUGUAAAGCUCUUUCGGUGAAGACGAAACGGUUCAUGCCAAUACCAUGAACUAAUGACGGUACUCACAGAAGAAGCACCGGCUAACUACGUGCCAGCAGCCGCCGUAACAC
rnacentral:rRNA from 1 species